CUACCCUGGAGCCCUGCUCUGUGAUGGGCCUCGUCCUCGCGGACGGGCCCGAAACCCGUGGGCGCCGUCGUCCGGCCCUGAGCGUAGCAAGAGAAAUCCCUCGCUCGGUGAGUCGCACGGUGGCCGCCCCGACCUACUUUUACAA
rnacentral:misc_RNA from 2 species